AACGAACGCUGGCGGCAUGCCUAACACAUGCAAGUCGAACGAGACCUUCGGGUCUAGUGGCGCACGGGUGCGUAACGCGUGGGAAUCUGCCCUUCGGUUGGGAAUAACUGAGAGAAAUUUCAGCUAAUACCUUAUAAUGUCUUCGGACCAAAGAUUUAUCGCCGAGGGAUGAGCCCGCGUAGGAUUAGGUAGUUGGUGGGGUAAUGGCCUACCAAGCCGACGAUCCUUAGCUGGUCUGAGAGGAUGAUCAGCCACACUGGGACUGAGACACGGCCCAGACUCCUACGGGAGGCAGCAGUGGGGAAUAUUGGACAAUGGACGCAAGUCUGAUCCAGCAAUGCCGCGUGAGUGAUGAAGGCCUUAGGGUUGUAAAGCUCUUUUACCCGGGAUGAUAAUGACAGUACCGGGAGAAUAAGCUCCGGCUAACUCCGUGCCAGCCGCCGCUGUAA
rnacentral:rRNA from 1 species